GAGCGGCGGACGGGUGAGUAAUGCCUAGGAAAUUGCCCUGAUGUGGGGGAUAACCAUUGGAAACGAUGGCUAAUACCGCAUAAUGCCUACGGGCCAAAGAGGGGGACCUUCGGGCCUCUCGCGUCAGGAUAUGCCUAGGUGGGAUUAGCUAGUUGGUGAGGUAAUGGCUCACCAAGGCGACGAUCCCUAGCUGGUCUGAGAGGAUGAUCAGCCACACUGGAACUGAGACACGGUCCAGACUCCUACGGGAGGCAGCAGUGGGGAAUAUUGCACAAUGGGCGCAAGCCUGAUGCAGCCAUGCCGCGUGUGUGAAGAAGGCCUUCGGGUUGUAAAGCACUUUCAGUCGUGAGGAAGGUGGUAGUGUUAAUAGCACUAUCAUUUGACGUUAGCGACAGAAGAAGCACCGGCUAACUCCGUGCCAGCAGCCGCGGUAAUACGGAGGGUGCGAGCGUUAAUCGGAAUUACUGGGCGUAAAGCGCAUGCAGGUGGUUUGUUAAGUCAGAUGUGAAAGCCCGGGGCUCAACCUCGGAAUAGCAUUUGAAACUGGCAGACUAGAGUACUGUAGAGGGGGGUAGAAUUUCAGGUGUAGCGGUGAAAUGCGUAGAGAUCUGAAGGAAUACCGGUGGCGAAGGCGGCCCCCUGGACAGAUACUGACACUCAGAUGCGAAAGCGUGGGGAGCAAACAGGAUUAGAUACCCUGGUAGUCCACGCCGUAAACGAUGUCUACUUGGAGGUUGUGGCCUUGAGCCGUGGCUUUCGGAGCUAACGCGUUAAGUAGACCGCCUGGGGAGUACGGUCGCAAGAUUAAAACUCAAAUGAAUUGACGGGGGCCCGCACAAGCGGUGGAGCAUGUGGUUUAAUUCGAUGCAACGCGAAGAACCUUACCUACUCUUGACAUCCAGAGAACUUUCCAGAGAUGGAUUGGUGCCUUCGGGAACUCUGAGACAGGUGCUGCAUGGCUGUCGUCAGCUCGUGUUGUGAAAUGUUGGGUUAAGUCCCGCAACGAGCGCAACCCUUAUCCUUGUUUGCCAGCGAGUAAUGUCGGGAACUCCAGGGAGACUGCCGGUGAUAAACCGGAGGAAGGUGGGGACGACGUCAAGUCAUCAUGGCCCUUACGAGUAGGGCUACACACGUGCUACAAUGGCGCAUACAGAGGGCAGCAAGCUAGCGAUAGUGAGCGAAUCCCAAAAAGUGCGUCGUAGUCCGGAUUGGAGUCUGCAACUCGACUCCAUGAAGUCGGAAUCGCUAGUAAUCGUGGAUCAGAAUGCCACGGUGAAUACGUUCCCGGGCCUUGUACACUCCGCCCGUCACACCAUGGGAGUGGG
rnacentral:rRNA from 1 species